rnacentral:rRNA from 1 species
ACGGGAGGCAGCAGUGAGGAAUAUUGGUCAAUGGGCGGAAGCCUGAACCAGCCAAGUCGCGUGAAGGAUGAAGGUAUUAUGUAUUGUAAACUUCUUUAGCUGUGGAGCAAUAAUCUCCAUGUAUGGAGAAAUGAGAGUACACAGAGAAUAAGGAUCGGCUAACUCCGUGCCAGCAGCCGCGGUAAUACGGAGGAUCCGAGCGUUAUCCGGAUUUAUUGGGUUUAAAGGGUGCGCAGGCGGCUUUCUAAGUCAGUGGUCAAAUCGUGGUGCUCAACGCCAUCCCGCCAUUGAUACUGGAGAGCUUGAUUGCGGUCGAGGUUUGCGGAAUUCGUCGUGUAGCGGUGAAAUGCAUAGAUAUGACGAAGAACACCGAUUGCGUAGGCAGCAGACCAGGCCGUAAAUGACGCUCAUGCACGAAAGUGCGGGGAUCGAACAGGAUUAGAUACCCUGGUA